rnacentral:lncRNA from 1 species
CUUCAAUUUAAGCCUGAAUACUGCUUGCUUCUGCCUAAGCAUUUUUGCCACAUAACCACCCACCACUACCAGUGAGUGUGGAGCAAAAACACACAAUUUGAGGACUGAUACUCUGAAUUUGUGCUUGGCUUUUCACAUGCUUAGCUGUGUGACAUUGCUCAAGUCCCUUAACCUCAUUUUUCUCAUCUGGAAAUUGGGCACCAUGAUGAUAGUUCCACCUUCUAGAUUGCAUGUGUGCCUGCUAAGAACAAGUGGCCCUGAGAGGGCUGUCUGUGUUCCUGAUUCUGGAACAAAUAUGAAUUAUUCUGCCACUUUGGGAGAAGGAAAUCUUCUGUUUAAAAGUUAUGGCUGCCAUCCUCAAGGUUAACUAUUGAUUCAAGACAAAUGACAUCUAUCUCUGAACCAUGACACAGAACUCUGACUGAGCUGAUNNNNNNGUUUUCUGGGCUCCCACAAGAGCUAAUGAUUACUGGCUCAGAUUACUCCCUUCCUCAGUCUUACCAGUCAACCUUUCCUUGUCAACUACUUCUCCCCUGAAAUCACACUGCAAGGAGAGUUGUAAUGCUUUCAGUCUCUUUUCCGUUUCCCAUAUCACCAGCGUAGCAACAAGUAGCUGUGAUGACUUCUUGUCAUAGCAACAACUAUGGCAACCGUUACAGUCCAAUCUCAGCCUGUUAAAUGAAACUGUCCCCAUUUGGUCCCUCAUGUUUAAAUUACCUACCAUUACCUUAGAAAUCUUCUUAUGCUUGCUGUUUAAGGACGAAAUAUGUGUGGAGCUGAUCUAGUUUUCCUUCCCAAGCAUGAUACCAACCAUCCAGUGAGGUAACCAGACUUUUAGCCAUCUAACUACCCACAGGAACAGAGAAAAGCAAACCACUCAUCCUAUGUAUCUAGCUUGCCCCAAAACAACAUUGAAGUGUUCUGCUGAAAUAAUGUGAUACAUUGGCAUGUACAUGCCAGAAGGGACACUUUUUCUGGAUAAGUUUUCUACCUAGUGCAGAGUGUCUACCACAGGCCUCGCCCUCCAGCAGCUGGUCACCUAGUUUUGCGGACUCAGCCUGACACCGAUCAGUAAAAUCUAGAGAACAAACUCAGUCAAAACUCUCUCUGCUGCAGAAAAGAGUUUUUUGUUUUUUUUAGAAAAUAAUGUUUGGUAACACAUUCAAAAUCUUGUGCUCCUUGCAUUGGAUUCAAGGACCUGCAACAGAGGAUGGGAAACCUCCCCUUCCACCUAAAUCUUUCUCCACUCCAACCAGGACCAGAGCCUUCACUGGACUCUGUGUCCUCAUUGGUAUUGUUCAGUUUCUAAGUCAUGUCUGACUCUUUGCGAUUACAUGUUUGGCAACAAAGAAGGCUUCCCUGUCUUUUACUAUUUAGUGUAGUUUCCUGAAACUCAUGUCCUUUGAGUCAGUGAUGCCAUCUCACAAUCUUAUCCUUUUAUUCCCUCUCCUUCUGCUCACAAUCUUUCCCAGCAUCAGGGUCUCUU